AUGGCGUACACGAAGUUGAGUGAGUUAACCACAAGAGGACAGACAUGGAAUAUUAAAGCCAAAGUAAUGAGAAUGUGGGACUCGAUCAAUCCUUCGACUGAUGAACUUAUAAGCAUCGAUAUGAUCUUGAUGGAUGAGCAGGGCCAUACACUUCAUGCUACUAUUUGGAAGAAUCUAAUAGACACUUACAGAGCAAAGAUCAACGAGGGUUCUAUAUAUGCUUUUAGCAAUUUUAAAGUUGUAGAUUCGACAAAAUAUCGACCAGUCGGCAAUGAAAUUAAAAUUAUUUUUUUAUACAACACAAAAUUAAGGGAGAUGAAAGGUUCAUCGGAUAAUUUUCCAGAUUACUACUUUGAGUUUGCUAGCAAAGAUAUCCUACAAGAACGUCUAAAAAAGACCAACAAUGCUCAGGUUGUCAUUGGGUUACUUACCAAGAUUAAGCCAAUAGAAUCAAGGAUAAGAAAGAAGAAAACACCUACAGAUGUACGUCAGAUUGAAAUUCUAAUGCCAGAGGGUAAUAGAAUCGGAGUAUCAUUAUGGGGAAGAUUAGCUCAUCAUUUAAGUGAGGAUGUAAUUGACAAUCAAACAAUUAUUAUUGUUACCUCAACAAUGGUGAAAAAAUUCAAUGGUUUGUGCCUAAAGUCAACUAGCACCACAAGAUUAUAUACAAAUCUAGAUAUACCCGAGGCUUGGGAAUUACGUGGCAGCCACUCCACCGAAGAAACUUUACCAAAAAUGAUGGAGAUUGAUAAAAGUACUCAAGGGACACUGGAAGAUCAAAUGUUUUACAGAAGGAUAACCUUAAAAGAACUUACUGGAAUUAGGCACGACAACCCAAUAGAUGAGGACUUUGUGUUCACCACAAUAGCUACAAUUGAUCGGUUACAAGAAAAUAUUCAAUGGUGGUAUCGUAUUUGGUUUCAAAUUAGUGAUCACAGUGCUACUACAAGUUGCACUUUAUUUGAUGAAGAGGCUGAAAGAAUGCUCAAUACAUCUGUCUCAUUCCUGUUGGAUUCAUUAGAUGGAAAAUCUGAAGAAGUCCCAAAGAUUAUACAAGAAUUAUGUGGACAAAGACUCGUCUUUCGAUUCAAACUCAACAAUAAGAACCUCACUCUAGGCAUGCAGAACUAUGCAGUAAAGAAAAUAUUUGUGCCUGAUGAGAAGCUUGAGAAGAGAUACUUAGAGGAUAAAGCUGAAGAGGAUUUGAUGGAUGAUGAAGUGGACAACAUGUUAAAACAAGAAACAAAGAAACCGAAUAAGCCAGUUAAAAAGGUGAUUGAAUACUGCACUGUACAAGCUUUUCUUUACAUAAAUUCAUCUCUUAAUUCAUCCAUUUAUGUUAUUUUUGCAAGUAAAAAUCAACAAGUGUGA
rnacentral:rRNA from 1 species